GUUCAUAUGGGCAGAGCAUGGUGUUUGCAACACCAGGGUUGUGGGUUCGAUUCCCAC
rnacentral:tRNA from 1 species